GUGUGAAUAUUCUUGCUGUUCUGAUUUUGUAAUAAUCUGGUUAGGUUAAACAUUCACUAUAUUAAGACCAUGCAUGUGUCCUGAGGCCUAGGUCUUUUCUUUCCAUAGGUUUUUGUUUGUUUGUUUGUUUUUAAU